UUUUAAAUUAUAGGAAAAAAAGGAUGUCUAGGUACUUUAAGACGAUGAAGGACGUAAAAAAUAUAUAUAUACGAAAAACUUAUUUAUAGCUUAUAUACUUUAAAUAAGAUCUCCGAAUAGGGAAACCUUUUAAUAUUUUUUAAAUUAAAAAUGAUUUACUUGAGGAACUGAAUCAUCUUAGUACUCAAAGGAAAAGAAAAUAACAAUUAUUCCCUUAGUAGUGGCGAACGAGUAGGGAUAAGAAACGUUAGACGUUUAGUUUAAAUAAAAAUAAAAUAAAGUAAAUAUAAACAACUGGUUUAUAUUGAAGAAACAAGAACUUCCUUGUAAAACUAAAUACUUUAAAGUAACCGAUAGUGUACUAGUACCGUGAGGGAAAGAUGAAAAGAACCCCGGGAGGGGAGUGAAAAGAGACUGAAAUUUUAAUCCUAACAACAAUAGAAGGGUAUAUGAACCUAACUAUUUGCCUGUUGAAGAAGGAACCGAUAAGUUUUGGUUUUA
rfam:Toxoplasma gondii VEG unlocalized apicoplast scaffold scaffold00511, whole genome shotgun sequence.